rnacentral:rRNA from 1 species
GUCGAGAAUCUUUCACAAUGGGGGCAACCCUGAUGGAGCGACGCCGCGUGGAGGAUAAGGUCUUCGGAUUGUAAACUCCUGUCAUGCGUGAACAAGGUUGCUUGGUUAAUACCUGGGCAAAUUGAUGGUAACGCAAGAGGAAGAGACGGCUAACUCUGUGCCAGCAGCCGCGGUAAUACAGAGGUCUCAAGCGUUGUUCGGAAUCACUGGGCGUAAAGGGUGCGUAGGUGGCGUGGUAAGUCAGAUGUGAAAGCCCGGGGCUCAACCUCGGAACUGCAUCCGAUACUGCCAUGCUAGAGUACUGGAGAGGUGACUAGAAUUCUCGGUGUAGCAGUGAAAUGCGUAGAUAUCGAGAGGAAUACCAAAGGCGUAGGCAGGUCACUGGACAGUUACUGACACUGGGGCACGAAGGCCAGGGGAGCGAACGGGAUUAGAAACCCGGGUAGUCC